UAGUCCAAACCAGUACUCCUAGCUAACUUUUCUUUCACUUCUCUAGAUGGAUAUCAAUUCUCUAAUCAUCACAAAAAAGGUUAAAAAUAAUUAAAUUUUUUUAAUUCAAACUAUUCAAAAUCUAUAGGAAAAAAGAAAAAUCAAAUAAUAGAAGAAAGAAAGAAAGGAUUCUACAGACCAAUAUAAGCAUCCUCAAUGUUCUUCAUUUGUCAUAU
rnacentral:lncRNA from 1 species